UACGAAGGGUGCUAGCGUUGUUCGGAAUCACUGGGCGUAAAGCGCGCGUAGGCGGCUUAACAAGUCAGAGGUGAAAGCCUGGAGCUCAACUCCAGAACUGCCUUUGAAACUGUUAAGCUAGAGUGUCGGAGGGGAUAGCGGAAUUGCUAAUGUAGAGGUGAAAUUCGUAGAUAUUAGCAGGAACACCGGUGGCGAAGGCGGCUAUCUGGACGACAACUGACGCUGAGGCGCGAAAGCGUGGGGAUCAAACAGG
rnacentral:rRNA from 2 species